rnacentral:rRNA from 1 species
GACGAACGCUGGCGGCGUGCUUAACACAUGCAAGUCGAACGAUGAACCCGGAGCUUGCUCCGGUGGAUUAGUGGCGAACGGGUGAGUAACACGUGAGUAACCUGCCCUUGACUCUGGGAUAACUGCGGGAAACUGUAGCUAAUACCGGAUACGACCCUCGGCGGCAUCGCCAGGGGGUGGAAAGAAUUUCGGUCAAGGAUGGACUCGCGGCCUAUCAGCUAGUUGGUGAGGUAACGGCUCACCAAGGCGACGACGGGUAGCCGGCCUGAGAGGGUGACCGGCCACACUGGGACUGAGACACGGCCCAGACUCCUACGGGAGGCAGCAGUGGGGAAUAUUGCACAAUGGGCGCAAGCCUAAUGCAGCAACGCCGCGUGAGGGAUGACGGCCUUCGGGUUGUAAACCUCUUUUAGUAGGGAAGAAGCGAAAGUGACGGUACCUGCAGAGAAAGCACCGGCUAACUACGUGCCAGCCGCCGCAGUAA